GCCCAGGUGGUGAAAUUGGUAGACACAAGGGAUUUAAAAUCCCUCGGACUAAACAUCCGUGCCGGUUCGACUCCGGCCCCGGGCACCA
rnacentral:tRNA from 1 species